rnacentral:rRNA from 1 species
UCCAGACUCCUACGGGAGGCAGCAGUGGGGAAUAUUGCACAAUGGGGGAAACCCUGAUGCAGCGACGCCGCGUGAGUGAAGAAGUAAUUCGGUAUGUAAAGCCCUAUCGGCAGGGAAGAAAUUGGACGGUACCUGACUAAGAAGCCCCGGCUAACUACGUGCCAGCAGCCGCGGUAAUACGUAGGGGGCAAGCGUUAUCCGGAUUUACUGGGUGUAAAGGGGGCGCAGACGGCGAUGCAAGCCAGGAGUGAAAGCCCGGGGCCCAACCCCGGGACUGCUCUUGGAACUGCGUGGCUGGAGUGCAGGAGGGGCAGGCGGAAUUCCUGGUGUAGCGGUGAAAUGCGUAGAUAUCAGGAGGAACACCGGUGGCGAAGGCGGCCUGCUGGACUGCAACUGACGUUGAGGCCCGAAAGCGUGGGGAGCAAACAGGAUUAGAUACCCCCGUAA